rnacentral:rRNA from 16 species
GGAUGCGAUCAUACCAGCACUAAAGCACAGGAUCCCAUCAGAACUCCGAAGUUAAGCGAGCUUUGGCGAGAGUAGUACUAGGAUGGGUGACCUCCUGGGAAGUCCUCGUGUUGCAUUUC